rnacentral:SRP_RNA from 1 species
GCUGGGCACGGUGGCUCAUGCCUGUAAUCCCAGCACUUUGGGAGGCUGAGGUGGGUGGAUCACCUGAGGUCAGGAGUUCAAGACCAGCCUGGCCAACAUGGUGAAACCCCAUCUCUA